GCGGUUUUAUUGUCCAUCUUCCACGGUAGAUACCAGUGGUUCAUUUAGUUGCGAUUCUGUUAUCAAUUAGUUCUUCAUGUUUUUUUUGCAAAACUCACUGUUAAUAGCGAACCAAUUUAUUUGAUAGAAUUCGGCUAUGGUGUCAUGUUCUCCAGGAGACUUGUUCUUUUUCUUUUCAUUAAUACGUUUAAAUUAUUCCUCCAAAUGACAUCACUUGAAAUCUACAAGGCAAAUUUCAUGUCUCCUGACCUUUCGGUCCCAGGAAUUAAGUUCAUUGGAAAUAAACUUCCAAGUGUUCAUGAACUUUGCAAAGGGUGAAGACCAUUUUUUGUUCUAAAUUAAAUCGCCUCCAUCACAUUCACACAUGCACGCAUGAAUUUAGAAUAUGGAAGUACGUCCUUACCUGUUAAUAGUUGAUAAUCAAGCCAACCUUACUAAAAUUGUUUUAUGAAUAUAAUAUUAAAAUUGUUUCUUUUAAUAAUUCAUACUUGGGAUGACAAUUACUUACAUUUAUGUGUUUAUAAGAAGGAACAUGUAAUUCUAGUGCACAUUUAUAGGUUAAGCAUUCGAGUUACUUCCCUUCGUCUGGUAGACGGAUGUUGUGAUUUAUUUUUAACUAUAGUUAUUGUCCCGUAUUGGUCUCAUCCUUGAAUCGUGGACCUCCAACCGAUUCUCUUCUGUCUUCAUUUUUCUGCUGUGCUUUUGUUCUUGUAUGUUUGCCCUACAUCUCUUUGAAACCGUCAGGGCUUCACCAAACAGCCCGAGAAGUGGCGACGUUUCUUACUUGGACAACAUAUUUAAAAUUGCUAACUCUUCUAAAGCUAAUGAUAAUUUAUGAAAUUUUAAUUUCAUUAUUAACAGCUAUUAUUAGGCGGGAAUACCCGGUUCCAAGUUUCCUCCUCGAUGUUUAGAUGUCGUGUGGUUGAAGUCAUUGGCAAUUAUACGACAUGCAUAAUAAAACAACAUCAUAAUAGGUGGGGCAUAAAACCAGAUAUUGAACCUUAUAUCACUUGAAUUUGUCUUCUAUUGGAUUAGUGGUAAAUAGAAGAUAAGGAAUAUAAUAUUAUUGUAUGUGUGGUAACAGAGAGAUUGUGGGUUGGCUUUCCCAUUCGCCUUCUCUCUGGAUAUUCAUUUAAUUACUUACUGUAUAUAUAUUAACAUUGUAAUAUGUAUCAUAUGCGUAUCAUUGUAGUUUUACAAUCUAUUACCUGAAAUUUGUAUUAUCAUUAUUACUUUAAAUAUUGCUCAUAGUAAUAUAUCUUUAACAACUUGUCAGUUCUCGUACUAGAUUAACAUUGUAAUAUGUAUUAUAUGCAUAUCAUCGUAGUUUUAUGACCUAUUACCUGAAAUAAAUAUUAUCAUUAUUACUUUCAAUAUUAAUCACAAUAAUAUAUCUUGAAUGACCUCGACAGUCCCCUUGCAAAGUAAUUAACAUAAUUUAAACAGGUCAUGCAUUACCGUCGUUCAUAACUUAAAAUUUUAAUAGCAUAAACGUUUUAGAUUCAUUUAAUGUACAUGAAACUAAAACAUAAAAGCUGCAUCAAAUCUAAACAAAUGGCACACACGACCUACUUAUCGUGACCGGCUUGAUUUGAUUUGAUCUCAAAUAUUCCAUGAAAUGGUUCAGUAAUAAGACUUAUGUUCGUUAUCAAUGAUGAUUCUUUUAUAUUGUUAGGUUAUCAAUGAUGAUUCCUUUAUAUUGUGAGGUUAUCAAUGAUCGAUUCCUUUAUAUUGUGAGGUUAUCAAUGAUGAUUCCUUUAUAUUGUGAGGUUAUCAAUGAGUUGAAAGCCUGAACAAGCAACAAACGGGAAUCAACAAGUGGACGAACAUCACGCGAACAUUUUUAUCCAUUAUUGAAUAUUAAAAGAAAUAGACUAAUAAGUCAUAUUUCAUGCCCCCUGAUUGACCAUUUUUAGCGUCCAUAUAUGUCAGAGAAAAAAACAAGAUAUGAAAGAGGUGUCAACAAAAUAAUUCUUUGAACUCCAAAUCGUCAAAACUAUGGCAGAAUUUGAACGAAUGUAAGAAUGACUAGGACAGAUUGUUUUCAAUUAGUUUGAGCUGAGAAUAAAGCUAGCAUGGUUGUCAGACGU
rnacentral:lncRNA from 1 species